rnacentral:rRNA from 1 species
AUGAACGCUGGCGGCGUGCCUAAUACAUGCAAGUCGAACGCUGGAGAUCUAGCUUGCUAGAUCGAAGGAGUGGCGAACGGGUGAGUAAUACAUAAGCAACCUACCCACGAAGACUGGGAUAAUCUCUGGAAACGGGGACUAAUACCGGAUAGGUAAUCGGAAGGCAUCUUCUGGUUAUUAAAGGUUAAAAACACUGGUGGAUGGGCUUAUGGCGCAUUAGUUAGUUGGUGAGGUAACGGCCCACCAAGACGAUGAUGCGUAGCCGGCCUGAGAGGGUGAAGGGCAACAGUGGGAGGGAGACCCGGCCAAGACUCAUGGGGGAGGAAGAAGAAGGGAAUUGUGGGAAGGGGGGGCAACCCGGACAGGGCAGCGCCGGGGGAGAAAAGCCGGCCUUCGGGUUGAAAGGCUUUGUUGAAAGAAAAAAAGGGUAAAAAGAAAAUAUCUAAGUGACGGUACCUAACAAGAAAGCCACGGCUAACUACGUG